AUACAUAAAACACAAAUUUGUGUUUGAACAUGGCCGAAACCUUGGCCGCCUCUGCAUUUGUUCUCUCUCUCUCCAUUUUUGCCAAAAAUUGCAUCGGUGCAGUGUACUUGUGUUUUUCUCUCUCUUCCAUAUCAGCCGUAGUCAAUCGUUGAAGAGGAAGAACCACUAUUUGGUUUUACACUGAUCUUGUGCGAGUACAGUUAAGGUAUUGAUUCGCUCAUAACCCUUUCUCAGUAUAAAUUCGGUUUGUGUUUGCUGAAAUCUUGGAUUUCUUGUGGUUAUUGUGGCUGUGAGGUGUGGAGGAGAAGAAAGGCUCUCAAAAUACUCCAUUCUCGGCCUAGGCUACCACUACAAAAGUCGGUGGGCUAUUUGGGCCAGUCCUUUGCAAGCCACUAUUAGGUCAGAGGCCCAACAUCUUUUUUUUUUCUAUCGAGUCCGAGUAAAAGAAAUGAUUGAAGGCCCAUCCAUGGGUGAAAAAGGCAACUGGUGGUCUUCGGUAGGCCCACCAGCCUAACUCUUUCUUUUUCCAUUUAUGUACAUUUGUAUAUGUGCAUGUAAGAAUGAUUGUAAAUAUUGAAACCCGAUUGUUUAGAACUUA